CUGUAUGACUGGAAACCAAAUGUUCCUGCAGAACCUGCCUUGUUCAAGAAGUGGUAACUUGAGGGGCAUGCUCCGGCCUGAUAGGGUAGAGACAAGUCUUGCACAGCUCUACUUGGAAGCUUCCUUCAUAGCUUUUCACCAUCAAGAAGACCAAAGAGGAGUUGUCCUAGCAAGCCAGAUUUUGAACCACAUAGUUAGUAAACGAAGCCUAAUGGUGAGAAGCUUCCCAAAGCCUCCACCAGCUAGCUCCAUCCUAAGAACAACGUUCCACCUCCAGCUGUCCUCUGUUCCUCUGGCACUUCCCUGGGAUAUUCCCACUGCCUGCUGCCUGCAAUUGCUCAUUGAAAGUGGUCAGCAGGGGACUGCGACACAGAUCCUGGAAAUAUUUCAUCAGCCAUAGCACGGACCUCCAUUCUCACACCUCUGUUCCUUAAGUGAUAGAGUCUGUGUGAUGCCUAAGUUCUGCUGUGUGCAGAACUUAAUGCAGAAGAGCUGUGUGCAGUUUCUGCUGCGGAUGUUGCUCAGCAUGUUGCCAUGCUCUGCUCAAAGAGCACUUCCCCAGAGAAGGGAUGGGAUUGGUGCAGGCUGCCAAACCUGAAAAAAACAGUCCCAUAAUAGAACAGGAUUAGUUGACAGUUGUGGCAUGUCAUUUCUACUUCUUCCUCAUCUUUACUAACUGAACUGUUCAUUUGCAACCACAGGCUCCUCCCUAAGAAGAAUUUACAGCAAAACUGGUAAAAGAAAGCACUGUUCAGUUGAUUCACUGCUUACAUGGAAUUGGAUCCAGCCUAUAGAUCCCCAUCAAAGAAGGGUUGUGUGGAGCUGAUGCAGUUACUGUUUCAUCACGUCAUGCAUUUGAAGGAUGGACAAGGUUGAGCACAUCUGAAGCAAGAGUGUCAAAUUGUGUGGCAAAACAGAACUGCACUGGAUGUGAAGCGAACACUGAAACUAGAAUAUAUAAGGUGUCUCCUCUGUGGCAGUCACUCAAGUCAGGUUGUGACCAUGGGUUGAGUUCAUGAGGAACUUGCCAUAGAUUUCAUUGAACCUAAGAGGGCAGAACAGCCAAAACCAAAGCUGGAGGGCUACUGAAGCAUGGCACAGCUGCCUUUCCUCCCAGUACACAUCUCAGCUCCAUGAUCUCGGCUGUGAUGGGAAAACUUCCUUGAAAUGCUAGGAAAAGUAUCUCCUCUCCAUCUUCAAGCUCUGAAGAGAGCCAUAUCUCUCUCCCACAGGGAUUUUGGCAGCUAGCAAAAGCAACACAUCCUAUUUCUCAGUCUCUCUGGGGCUAUCACUUAGUGUAGCACUGGCAACUUACCAGGUCUCAAUGCCGUGGUGUCAGUGCUCCUUUAUCAGAAAAACACUCUUUACCUACAAAAUCCUGAAGAUGAACCUCAGCUGGUCAGAGUGCUGAUUGCUGAAGGCAAGGCUGCAGCAAAACCUAUGCUCCGGUCUCCCUUUGAUUUUUCAUGAAACAGGAGGAUGGUUGCAGCUGCAGUAGCACUUCACUUACUUCCUGAGCUGAGUCUGAGGCAUUUUUUUUCUUGGAGAAGGAUGAGCCAAUGAACAUCACAGCUGAUUACACUCUAGAAAAGAUGAAGGAUGAAAGACAGUGAGAUUAUUUGAUGUCUUCUGGUUUUCCAAGAAGGCCCUAUGACUUAAAGGCAGUUGAUGGUUCUACUUUUGAUUUGGUUAACACCAGGUGCAUCAUUUUUAAAAAUGGCAAACUGACUUCUUGUGAUCUGAACAGAGAAAGAUGAUAUUUAAGGCUCAUAUGUGAAAGAAAAACAACUGUCAGCUAUUAAUCCUACCUGAGAUACUGAGCUUUGCAAGUGCAGCUGAGGACUGGGAACUUCAAGCCAAUCUGCAAUGACAUUAACUCACUCAUUUUGGAAGCCACCUUCCCUUUUCAUCAGAUCCUCAGAUUUCAUUACAGCAGAAAGUGUAUUGUGGGGAGAUGAUGGAUAAAGAUUAUGCCAUGCAACUCAACAGUCCAUCUGUCACUCAGUAUAGCUUUUCCCGUCCUUUUCCAGAGUUCCCUGAUAAGUAAAAAAAAAAUAAUCCAUAUUCCUGCAUUGCCUUGGAACUUCAGAUAUUACUUCUGACUGUAUUGUGAUUUUCCAAUUUUGAGAUGUUUCUUGCUAAUGAAGAAGCACCAUUUGGUACUGGAUCUGGAGCUGCUCAAAGCCAAUGGGAAAAACAUGUUUCCUUCUGUUUAACCCUACCACUUGCUGCCUCCUCCCUUCCUUCUCUAAUUAGUUUCAUCCCCUGAUCUGAAGGAUACAUACUUACACAUUUCUACCAGACCAAGUAUUUUCAAACUUCGUCACAUGCAGACCUCUUUCUCAGCAAACAUGGGUCCAAAAUCAGGCACAAAUUCUCUUUUCACGCUCUUGUUUGCCUUCUGACUGUGGGAGGAGGGCUGGGCUAUGCUUUCAUCAUUUUUCCCUUUGCAUAGGUGCAAGAAACAGAAUGCAGAAUGAGGCAGGGCAGGUGCAGCAGUCUCUGCACAGCCAGGAUAAUACUAACACACAUGAUUUUGUCAUCUCUCCAAGGGAGCAUAUGCUUUUCUUCAUGUGCCACUGAACCUUUAUGUCAGUGGGAAGAAAGCAUUUAUAUCUCUCUGUGUACCUGAGGCUGGUUAUAGGGCUUUCAUACCCUUUCAUAAAAGAUGCUCUGUAGAGAUGCGGAAAGUUUUGUCAACAGCUGGGAAAAGCAAUGUUAUCUCUUGUAAACCUCUUUUUUUUGCAGAAUUCUAAAACCUACAAAGAACCCCUUCACUCUGCAUUUUGCAGUAGCAACUCCCUGGAGCUCCCAGUUCAGCCUUAACACAAGCAAGGUGCUGGCUUUUGCAACCUCACCACGCCAGGCAGCUUUGCUGAUAAAUAUAACUUCUACCAGGGCUGUGAGCAAAGCUACAUGCUGUCAUGGACAUGCUGUUGAGAAACCCCUGGGAGCCUGGGAACCUGGGCAGCACUUGCUCCUCAGCUGCUGGUUUUGUUGGUAUUCCAGGCACACAGGUUCCCAGCCCCAACCUGGCUGGCUGCAGGAGGGUCUGCUCUGCCCAUCUCAGAAUUGCUGCUUCUGGCUGGCUUUUGCAGAGACCCUGGAAAGCAGCUGGGUGCCCCCUUCCCCUGGCCGAAUGCUGUGGUAGUCAACAGUCACUCUACUACUUAAUAUUUCAAUUAUGCAUGGAUCACCCAAUGACUGUCAACAUCCAGUAAUUUGCUUGCAUGUUCCGUGCUCCCUGUGCAUCACAUCUCUCCCUUGGGAUAACACACUUCCAUUUCAGACCAGAGAAUAAGCUUGUGUGCUGAAAGCUUGUUUGUUUUAGUGGGUCUAAUAAAAGAUAUUACCC